ensembl:misc_RNA
UGUGCAGCCUCAUGGAGCGAGUGACGGAGUGGGUUGCCAACUUGUAGUGACUCCACUCAGCAGCGCAGAAUGGCUGCGGGAAAUGUGUAUUCAGAUAAGCCCAAAGAAGUCUGCCCAGGGUGAAACAAGUACCUUUGAAGU